CUGCUUUCUUUUUUCACUGACAUUUUUAAAGAAGCAGCAUCACUAUUUGCCGAUACUACAAAUAAAGAGAGGAAUGUAUUUGUGGAGUGGAGAAAUUUAAAGACCAAGGGUAGAAAAAUGGAUGCUGUUAUGAAUUGGCUGGAAUGGAUCCUUUCCCAUUCACUUCUGCGUAUUGCUGAAAGCAAUCCUCAAGGGUUGGAUAAUUUUUGGCUUAGCCAGGGUGCCUAUCUGUUACUUUGUUUAAUGCGGAGCACUCAAGAGGAAGUUCAAG
rnacentral:misc_RNA from 1 species